rnacentral:rRNA from 1 species
AACGAACGCUGGCGGCAUGCCUAACACAUGCAAGUCGAACGAGACCUUCGGGUCUAGUGGCGCACGGGUGCGUAACGCGUGGGAACCUGCCCUUAGGUUCGGAAUAACUCCCCGAAAGGGGUGCUAAUACCGGAUAAUGUCUUCGGACCAAAGAUUUAUCGCCUUUGGAUGGGCCCGCGUUGGAUUAGCUAGUUGGUAGGGUAAAAGCCUACCAAGGCGACGAUCCAUAGCUGGUCUGAGAGGAUGAUCAGCCACACUGGGACUGAGACACGGCCCAGACUCCCACGGGAGGCAGCAGGGGGGAAUAUGGGACAAGGGGCGAAAGCCUGAUCCAGCAAUGCCGGGGGGGUGAUGAAGGCCUUAGGGUUUUAAAGCUCUUUUACCCGGGAUGAUAAUGACAGUACCGGGAAAAAAAGCUCCGGCUAACCCCGU